ACUACGGGUGGCUGCAGUGGGGAAUAUUGCACAAUGGGGGAAACCCUGAUGCAGCGACGCCGCGUGAGUGAAGAAGGAUUUCGGUAUGUAAAGCUCUAUCAGCAGGGAAGAAAAUGACGGUACCUGAGUAAGAAGCCCCGGCUAACGACGUGCCAGCAGCCGCGGUAAUACGUAGGGGGCAAGCGUUAUCCGGAUUGACUGGGUGUAAAGGGAGCGUAGACGGCAGCACAAGUCUGGAGUGAAAUGCCGGGGCUUAACCCCGGAACUGCUUGGGAAACGGUGCAGCUAGAGUGCAGGAGAGGUAAGUGGAAUUCCUAGUGUAGCGGUGAAAUGCGUAGAUAUUAGGCGGAACACCAGUGGCGAAGGCGGCUUACUGGACUGUACCUGACGUUGAGGCUCGAAAGCGUGGGGAGCAAACAGGAUUAGAUACCCUUGUAGUC
rnacentral:rRNA from 1 species